UUCAUAUUAUAUUAUCAGUAUAUAAAAUUAAUGUUAUCAAAGCCCAAACUGAAAGAAGGCGCCGGCUUAGGUCAGAUUUAUUUCAUGACUUCCUCCCACAUUGGUGCAGAUUAAAAAUGAGAGCAGCUAUAUAAGGAGUCGAGAGAGAAGAAGAAGCACGACCUUACUUGAACAGGAUCUGUUCUAUAGGCUCGUACCUCUGUAUUCUUGAUUCCUAAGAAGACAGAAACCCAUGUCUGGUUGAUGAACCACGACCAUGUAACCAGAGCGUGAUUAACAGAACUUCAUGGUCUCGGCCAUGGCUCGGUAGAUGAUCGUUGCCAAUCCAUCUAAUGGUCCUGGCAUGGCUACAUGGUUGUCUGACAGACAAUCUCAACUUUUUUUUUUUUGGUUCUAUUUCUCCAUGAUUCCUCAUUACAGUUGACAUAAAUUUCGUUCUUUCAUUUGUAUCCAGUAUCAAUCCAUCUCCCUCGUUUGUUAUUUUAGUUAUUGUUAUAUGGAAGGUGCUGAAGUUAUAUAGAAAUGUGUCCAAAUUAGAGCUGCAGACCAAGUGUUUGAUGAAAUGCCUGAAGGAGAUUGCCUUUUCUUUUUUGCCUUCUUCUACAGUCAGGAAGGAUGAUAAUCUGUAUGUUGCUGGGCUUUUUUAUGAUUCAUGGCCUCAUGUGAUUGUCAAGAAUGGGGGAAUUCUUGAGUCAUUGAAUUUGUUUAGGAAGAUACAAUGGAAGGGUGUAAAUUGUAAUCCGUUACAAACAAUGUGACACUAUGUGCUGAGUUUUUUUGGUACAUAUUAUAAUUGGACUGGUUUAUCAAGAUGAUGCUUUUAAAAAUC